rnacentral:rRNA from 1 species
UUAAUAUCCUCAUAAGUUAGGCGAUAAGAGGUACCAUCUUUUUAUUUAAGUGUCCGGCAAAUAUCCUCAUAAGUUAGACGAUAAGAGGUACCAUCUAUUAUUUUUUUAAAUAUAGAUGGUGGCACAGAAUCGGAGGCCCCGACUGUUUACUAAAAACACAACACAGUGCAAUCAUUAAUGUGAUAGUAUACUGUGUGAAAUUUGCCCAAUGCCAUUAAUAUAAGAGCGGUCAUAUAUAAAUGUGACUAAUUGAAAAUCUGGUUAAUAGCGGUCUUAACCAUGAGGAUCCUAAGGUAGCAAAAUAAAUUGGCCAUUAAAUGUGGUCCGGUAUCAAUAAUGUAACGAUGGCCUCACUGUCUCUACAACUUGCUCAGUGAAAUUGAAUUACGCGUGCAGAUGCGCGUUACCUCCAGUGGGACGGGAAGACCCUAUGCAGCUUCU